UGACAGACAAGCAGACGGAGCACAGGA
rnacentral:piRNA from 1 species